rfam:Triticum aestivum genome assembly, contig: Triticum_aestivum_CS42_TGACv1_scaffold_225871_3B
CAAAUACUCCCUCCGUCCCAAAAUUCUUGUCUUAGAUUUGUCUAAAUACGGAUGUAUUAAGUCGCAUUUUAGUAUUAGAUACAUCCGUAUCUAGACAAAUCUAAGACAAGAAUUUUGGGACGGAGGGAGUAUCUU